rnacentral:rRNA from 1 species
CGCGUAGGCGGGGAGGUAAGUCGGGUGUGAAAUCCCUCGGCCUAACCGAGGAACUGCGCCCGAGACUGCUUCUCUUGAGUCCCGGAGAGGAAGAUGGAAUUCCCGGUGUAGCGGUGAAAUGUGUAGAGAUCGGGAGGAACACCGGUGGCGAAGGCGGUCUUCUGGACGGUGACUGACGCUGAGGCGCGAAAGCGUGGGGAGCAAAACGG